rnacentral:sRNA from 1 species
UCGCCACCCACGACGUACGAACGGGGAAGACGACCCAACCAGCUUCGGCGUGGGUGUAGACGUUCACAACGGUAUUUAAGACUUAGACGAAGAGGUUGAGUCCUCGCGUAGAGGUGUGACGUCCGUAGUCGUAAUGCCGUUCCGCCGGCUAGUAGAUGUACGUACCCGAGUACGACGACGGACGGCGUACGGAAGGUAAUUCGUUGUGUAGAAUCAGCCGACGACCACGUAGGUAACACUAAUACUACCUACUACGAUAGUANAUCAGUACGAGAGAGUGUAGAACGACCGGNGGGAGUGAAAUAGUACCUGAAACCAUGUGCCUACAAUCCGUCAAAGCAUC